CAGGUAGGAGGUUUGGUAAGUCUGUUGUGAAAGCUCCCGGCUUAACUGGGAGAGGUCAACGGAAACUACUAGGCUAGAGUGCGGUAGAGGUAGCUGGAAUUCCCGGUGUAGCGGUGAAAUGCGUAGAUAUCGGGAGGAAUACCUAUGGCGAAAGCAGGCUACUGGACCGUCACUGACUCUGAUCUGCGAAAGCUAGGGGAGCAAACAGGAUUAGAUACCCUGGUAGUCCUAGCCCUAAACGAUGCUCAUUAGGUGUGGGAGGUAUCGACCCCUUCCGCGCCGUAGCUAACGCAUUAAAUGAGCCGCCUGGGGAGUACGGCCGCAAGGUUGAA
rnacentral:rRNA from 1 species